rnacentral:rRNA from 1 species
AAGAACCUUACCAAGUCUUGACAUCCCAUUGGCGAGUGAGUAACGUCACUUUCCCUUCGGGGCAAUGGAGACAGGUGGUGCAUGGUUGUCGUCAGCUCGUGUCGUGAGAUGUUGGGUUAAGUCCCGCAACGAGCGCAACCCCUAUCCUUAGUAGCCAGCAGGUAAAGCUGGGAACUCUGAGGGGACUGCCCGGGAUAACCGGGAGGAAGGCGGGGAUGACGUCAAAUCAUCAUGCCCCUUAUGGCCGGGGCUACACACGUGCUACAAUGGCGGAAACAGAGGGAAGCAGCCCCGUGAGGGUGAGCGAACCCCAAAAAUACCGCCUCAGUUCGGAUUGUAGUCUGCAACCCGACUACAUGAAGCCGGAAUCGCUAGUAAUCGCGAAUCAGAAUGUCGCGGUGAAUACGUUCCCGGGUCUUGUACACACCGCCCGUCACACCAUGGGAGCCGGAAAUGCCCGAAGUCAGUGGCCCAACCCAAAAGGAGGGAGCUGCCGAAGGUGGAGCUGGUAACUGGGGUG